CCAGCCAAGUAGCGUGAAGGAUGACUGCCCUAUGGGUUGUAAACUUCUUUUAUACGGGAAUAAAGUGAUCCACGUGUGGGUUUUUGUAUGUACCGUAUGAAUAAGGAUCGGCUAACUCCGUGCCAGCAGCCGCGGUAAUACGGAGGAUCCGAGCGUUAUCCGGAUUUAUUGGGUUUAAAGGGAGCGUAGGCGGGUGCUUAAGUCAGUUGUGAAAGUUUGCGGCUCAACCGUAAAAUUGCAGUUGAUACUGGGUGUCUUGAGUACAGUAGAGGCAGGCGGAAUUCGUGGUGUAGCGGUGAAAUGCUUAGAUAUCACGAAGAACUCCGAUUGCGAAGGCAGCUUACUGGACUGUAACUGACGCUGAUGCUCGAAAGUGUGGGUAUCAAACAGGAUUAGAUACCCUGGUAGUCCACACAGUAAACGAUGAAUACUCGCUGUUUGCGAUAUACAGUAAGCGGCCAAGCGAAAGCGUUAAGUAUUCCACCUGGGGAGUACGCCGGCAACGGUGAAACUCAAAGGAAUUGACGGGGGCCCGCACAAGCGGAGGAACAUGUGGUUUAAUUCGAUGAUACGCGAGGAACCUUACCCGGGCUUGAACUGCCAGUGACUCAUGCAGAGACGCAUGUUUCUUCGGACACUGGCGGAGGUGCUGCAUGGUUGUCGUCAGCUCGUGCCGUGAGGUGUCGGCUUAAGUGCCAUAACGAGCGCAACCCUUAUCCCUGUUUGCCAUCGGGUUAAGCCGGGCACUCCAGGGACACUGCCAUCGUAAGAUGUGAGGAAGGUGGGGAUGACGUCAAAUCAGCACGGCCCUUACGUCCGGGGCUACACACGUGUUACAAUGGGGGGUACAGAAGGCAGCUACCUGGUGACAGGAUGCUAAUCCCAAAAACCUCUCUCAGUUCGGAUCGAAGUCUGCAACCCGACUUCGUGAAGCUGGAUUCGCUAGUAAUCGCGCAUCAGCCAUGGCGCGGUGAAUACGUUCCCGGGCCUUGUACACACCGCCCGUCAAGCCAUGAAAGCCGGGGGUACCUGAAGUACGUAACCGCAAGGAGCGUCCUAGGGUAAAACUGGUGACUGGGGCUAAGUCGUAACAAGGUAGCCGUACCGGAAGGUGCGGCUG
rnacentral:rRNA from 1 species